GAUGAACGCUGGCGGCGUGCCUAAUACAUGCAAGUCGAGCGAACAGACGAGGAGCUUGCUCCUUUGACGUUAGCGGCGGACGGGUGAGUAACACGUAGGUAACCUACCUAUAAGACUGGGAUAACUUCGGGAAACCGGAGCUAAUACCGGAUAAUAUUUCGAACCGCAUGGUUCGAUAGUGAAAGAUGGCUUUGCUAUCACUUAUAGAUGGACCUGCGCCGUAUUAGCUAGUUGGUAAGGUAACGGCUUACCAAGGCAACGAUACGUAGCCGACCUGAGAGGGUGAUCGGCCACACUGGAACUGAGACACGGUCCAGACUCCUACGGGAGGCAGCAGUAGGGAAUCUUCCGCAAUGGGCGAAAGCCUGACGGAGCAACGCCGCGUGAGUGAUGAAGGUCUUCGGAUCGUAAAACUCUGUUAUUAGGGAAGAACAAACGUGUAAGUAACUGUGCACGUCUUGACGGCACCUAAUCAGAAAGCCACGGCUAACUACGU
rnacentral:rRNA from 1 species